rnacentral:rRNA from 1 species
CCUACGGGAGGCAGCAGUCGAGAAUCAUUCACAAUGGGGGAAACCCUGAUGGUGCGACGCCGCGUGGGGGAAUGAAGGUCUUCGGAUUGUAAACCCCUGUCAUGUGGGAGCAAAUUAAAAAGAUAGUACCACAAGAGGAAGAGACGGCUAACUCUGUGCCAGCAGCCGCGGUAAUACAGAGGUCUCAAGCGUUGUUCGGAAUCACUGGGCGUAAAGAGUGCGUAGGCUGUUUCGUAAGUCGUGUGUGAAAGGCGCGGGCUCAACCCGCGGACGGCACAUGAUACUGCGAGACUAGAGUAAUGGAGGGGGAACCGGAAUUCGCGGUGUAGCAGUGAAAUGCGUAGAUAUCGAGAGGAACACUCGUGGCGAAGGCGGGUUCCUGGACAUUAACUGACGCUGAGGCACGAAGGCCAGGGGAGCGAAAGGGAUUAGAUACCCUUGUAGUC